rnacentral:tRNA from 1 species
GGAGAGGUGUCCGAGAGGCCGAAGGAGCACGCUUGGAAAGCGUGUGUACGGCAACGUACCGAGGGUUCGAAUCCCUCCCUCUCCGCCA